GUCACGGUGGCCGAAAGGUCAAGGCGUUGGACUCGAAAUCCAAUUUCGGUUUCCCCGCACAGGAUUGAAUCCUGUUCCGUGACG